GAAUCUCUCUCUCUCUCUCUCUUAAGCUUUUUCGGUUUCUUAGAUUGUCAGUUCGUGCGAAGUCCUUUGCCUUGAUCCAUUUUCCCGUUCGUGCUAUUCAUCAUGUUUGUGAACCCCCUCAAUAGACUAUGCUUCUGUUGUCUCUUGAUUGCAAACCGGGGGCACGAAGAUCAUUUAAAAAUUAUUUGUAGAGGAGAAGGAUGAGGCACUCGACCUGUCCCAAGGAGAGAGAGCCCCUGGGGCUUCCCUGAAGGUGAUACACGACAGCCUCAGGCACACAGAUGCAACGACCGUGCAGACAGACGUUAUCCAGGUUCUCUAGUUGGUUUCAAAUCUUCAAAACUGUAUUUUCAUUUGAUCCAUGGUUGAAUUCUGAAGUCCUUCUGGUUUCAUAUCAUUUCUGUUUGGUUGUGCAUAUUUAGGAAUGCGCUCAGGUUGUUGACUCUUUUUAACUUUUUCAAAAUUCUAGUGUGCUAAGGUUGAGUAAAUUUUCUCACUCCUUGCCAACUUUAUAUUUGAAAGGUGAAUGGAAUUAAAAAAAAAGAAUUAAAAUGUUUACAUCUACCAAA